AAUAGAUACCUGGGUAGUCCACGCCGUAAACGUUGGGCGCUAGAUGUGGGGACCAUUACACGGUUUCCGCGUCGUAGCUAACGCAUUAAGCGCCCCGCCUGGGGAGUACGGCCGCAAGGCUAAAACUCAAAGGAAUUGACGGGGGCCCGCACAAGCGGCGGAGCAUGCGGAUUAAUUCGAUGCAACGCGAAGAACCUUACCAAGGCUUGACAUAUGCGAGAACGCUCUAGAAAUAGAGAACUCUUUGGACACUCGUAUACAGGUGGUGCAUGGUUGUCGUCAGCUCGUGUCGUGAGAUGUUGGGUUAAGUCCCGCAACGAGCGCAACCCUCGUCGCAUGUUGCCAGCACGUAAUGGUGGGAACUCAUGUGAGACUGCCGGGGUCAACUCGGAGGAAGGUGGGGAUGACGUCAAAUCAUCAUGCCCCUUAUGUCUUGGGCUUCACGCAUGCUACAAUGGCCGGUACAAAGGGCUGCGAAACCGCAAGGUGGAGCGAAUCCCAAAAAGCCGGUCUCAGUUCGGA
rnacentral:rRNA from 1 species